rnacentral:rRNA from 1 species
ACCUGCCCUUUGUACACACCGCCCGUCGCUACUACCGAUUGAAUGAUUUAGUGAGGUCUUCGGACUGGUACGCGGCGAUUGGCGCAAGUCGGUCGCCGAUGUACCGGAAA